CAGACAACCGGUCGAUGUGAUGCUAAGAGCAAGUGUGGGGGGACUUGCUAGAAACAACUAGUCAUGUAUCAGUCCAUAGACAAUGACUAACCCCAUAAGUCACUAACUUAGGGCCCCAACCAUUUUCAUGGAGUCCAUAUCUAUUAUGAAUCACAACAAGCCAGACGGAAUCGGUUGCCAGUUGAAAUCUUACAGCCAAUUACCAUCAUUCCCCACCCUUUCUUUUAUCUUCAAGAAGAACCACAAUUUUCCACUUCACCAUGUGAUCCUUACCCG
rnacentral:lncRNA from 1 species